GCCGAGGUAGCUCAGUGGUAGAGCAGCGCUUUUGUAAAGCGCGGGUCGGAGGUUCAAAUCCUCUCCUCGGCU
rnacentral:tRNA from 1 species